GUUUCUCCUAGACGUCUAUUCAGCAGAAGUCCCAGCAAAACUGUCGCGGGGGGGGGGGGAGGCGGGGGAGGACCGCUCAGCCUCCGGUUUGCCGCGCAGAGUGCAGCAGGUAUUUAGCGGAAGCACUCGCAGGAGUUUGAAGUGCGUUUCUAAAGUCAGUACUUCUGCCCGGAGCUCUAGCCGGUCCUGGAGUGGGGAAGAUUUGUGUGCUGGGAUGGGGACGGGUAGCCUUAGCAACAAAGUGGUCACUUGAAGGAAUUUACAGGGAAAGCAUCCCGGGCUGAGAGAGAAACGUCAAUUUCUGAGCGGCAAGCAAGCAGAGAAGAGAUAGCGCCCUGAGCCUCUGCAACAAAGCUUCCUCUAUGAGCUCGCGGCCCCAGAGCCGUCUGCUCCCUGUUUAGUUUUAUUUUCCCUUCCCCCUGUGCUUCCAGAGCACAGUCGCCGGCCCUGGCACGGUGACCGCUGCCCACGGCCGUCGACCGCCGCAUCGCGCACCGCCGGGCUCGGGGCGCUCAGCGCAGCUCCGCACGGCCGGGACGGCCCCCAAAAUAAACAGCCCCACUCCUCCGGCAGCCGGCUCCUUGGCACCGUUCAUAAGCACUGCCCUCGGCGUAAAAAAAAAAAAAAAAAAAAAAAAGCCCUGCGGGUGAGAGGCAGGAGGGGCCGGGCUGCUCCCUCCGAGCCCCGGCCCUGCGGGGAGCGGGGAGCGGGUCCCGAGGAACCGGGCUGCGGCGCUUGGUCCGUCCGGCUCCGCUUAGGCUCUCUCCCUCUGUGUCUGUGUCUGUGUCUCUGUCUCUCUCUCUCUCUCUCUCCCUCUCUCUCUGUGCCUUGCUCUGCCUCCUUUACUCCCUGUCUCUUCACAGUCUGGGGAGUAAAAUCUGGAUGAUAUACAUACCGAGCGUGCUUUUUUUGUCUGAUUUAAUCUUAUUCGUUUCACCUUUUCAAUGACCAGGAGACAGGACCGAGAGUUUAUUUAGAAGGAGGGAGAGAGAGGAAAGGAGCCCACUGUUGCAUAGUCAAUAACAUCCUUUUUAUCAAUGCGAUAUACAAUGGGGACGGCUUGGCCGAGGGACUCAUUGAAAAUCUCUUUAUUAUUUCGGGACAAAAUCGGGCGUUUAUUCUGAUCCCAGAAAUGAUGACGGAUUCUCCCCCGCAGACGGCUCCCGGCUCAGACCUCAGAGUGACAGGGGAAAAAAAUAAGAUAAAUGUGACUGCGAUACAUCAAAGUGGAGGGUUUGGGGUUUUUUUCUCAAUGAAAGCGACCUCUCUUCUCUAAAAUAAUAACAAUAAAACUUCCGUCAGAUGUAUUUCACCCCCUUUCCUAUCGUACGGUUUACCGUGGCUUCCAGUCUGAGGAUAAACUUUUAUGGGAGCUGAGAGGAGGGCAGGCUUUUCCCUUUUUUUCCUUUAUUUUUUAUAUAUGUGUGCCUAUAUCUCUCUUUUUUUUUUCCCCCACUGUUUGUUUCUUUGUGUCAGCCGCAAUCUUUCUACCCGAAGCAAAUCCCAGACCUCUCCCGAAAGGGGGAAGGUAGGAGCGGGAAAGGAUGCACACGGUCACAAAGAAGGGGUUUCUUCUCCCUCCUGAGUGCAACUCUGCUUAUUGUUUUUCCCUGUUUUUAAAACGCUUUUAAAAAAAAAUGGGAAAGAAAAAAAAAGAAAGAAAGAAAACAAAACAAAGCAAAAAGGAAAGAAAGAAAGAAACAGAAAAACAGCGUGGAUUGCGGGGGCUGAUGAACCUCGCGGAAAGCCUCGCAGGGAGCGGGGCCCGGCGGGGCGGG
rnacentral:lncRNA from 7 species